UACGUAGGGGGCGAGCGUUGUCCGGAUUCAUUGGGCGUAAAGGGUGCGUAGGCGGCGCGGUAAGUCGGAUGUGAAAUCUCGGAGCUUAACUCCGAAACUGCAUUCGAUACUGCCGUGCUUGAGGACUGGAGAGGAGACUGGAAUUUACGGUGUAGCGGUGAAAUGCGUAGAUAUCGUAAGGAAGACCAGUGGCGAAGGCGGGUCUCUGGACAGUUCCUGACGCUGAGGCACGAAGGCCAGGGGAGCAAACGGG
rnacentral:rRNA from 1 species